rnacentral:rRNA from 2 species
UUCGCAAUGCCCGAAAGGGUGACGAAGCGACGCCGCGUGGGUGAGGAAGGCCUUCGGGCUGUAAAGCCCUGUCAGGAGUUAAGAAAUGUAAGUGUGCUAAUAUCGCAUUUACUUGACGAAGGCUCCAAAGGAAGUCACGGCUAACUCUGUGCCAGCAGCCGCGGUAAUACAGAGGUGGCAAGCGUUGUUCGGAAUUAUUGGGCGUAAAGAGCACGUAGGUGGGUUUGUAAGUCAGAUGUGAAAGCCUCCUGUUCAACGGGAGAAUUGCAUCUGAAACUACAAGUCUUGAGUGUAGGAGGGGAGAAUGGAACUUCUGGUGGAGCGGUGAAAUGCGUAGAUAUCAGAAGGAACGCCGGCGGCGAAAGCGAUUCUCUGGCCUAUUACUGACACUCAGUGUGCGAAAGCUAGGGGAGCAAACGGGAUUAGAUACCCCGGUAGUCCUAGCUGUAAACGAUGGGCACUAAGUAGAGGGGUUUU